AGCCAUUGCCUACCCACACCGCAAGAUAAAGCCCACACGCUAUUGUGGAUCUCAACGUAUCUGACAGUCUUCUGAAUUCAUUUUUCCUCCUCUAAAAAUUGCAUUUUUCCCCACCAUAAACAAUCAAGAUGUAGAUUCCCUAUUGAGUCCUACGGAAGUCUGGAUAGAUCUAGAUUGUCUAGACAUAGACGUUCUAGAUAAAACAAGAGGCUGUUCUGUGUUCUUUAAGACCCAUACAAAUGUUGGAUGUUGUUUUUAGUUCUGUAAGCCACCAACCUUUCUUUCUUGCAGGGCCUUCCUACCGGAAGUGGCCCAACUGAACUCCCCUAUGGGCGUGGUCUGCCUCCAAGGAGUCAAGCACUCGCCUGGUUCGGAUUCCUGAACAACAAAAGCCAAAGACAGAUUCUUGAUGCCGGAGCCAACACUUCACAAAUUCCAGGCCCAGAUCUUGGCAUAGCGCUGUUCCCGGUUAAACCCAGCACUGAAUCUUCCAAGCCGAAGGACCCAUCAUCCAGAAUGCUUGGGACCAGAAGCACUUCUGCUUUGGACUGGUUUUCUUCAGAGUUUGGAAUAUUUGCACAGAAAUAAUGAGCUAUCUUGGGGAUGAAGCUUAAGUCUAAAUAAGAAAUUAAAUACAAAAUUACUCUAUACUUCAUAUGCCUCACAGAGCCUCAAGGUCAUGCGUGUC
rnacentral:lncRNA from 1 species